AUUUAGGAGAAGAGAGAUCAGAGAAGUGGAAGGGGAAGAAUUUGGGUUGAUGGGUAGUUUUGGGGUUAUGGUUGUGAUUUUGCAUUGGAGUUUUGGGCUAUUGGGUACUGAUGAUGUGGGAGUUAUGGCAUUGGUGGUUUGGCACCUGAGACUUGGUUGAGAUUUUAAACAGGAUGUUGAUGUGUUGGAGAAAUACCUGAACUUGUAGUUUAUUCUUGGCUUUGGCUGCUCGUAGUGGUGGUGGUGGUGGUGGAAUUGUUGUUGCAAG
rnacentral:misc_RNA from 1 species